GAUGAAGAACGUAGCGAAAUGCGAUAAGUAAUGUGAAUUGCAGAAUUCAGUGAAUCAUCGAAUCUUUGCACGCACAUUGCGCCCGCCAGUAUUCUGGCGGGCAUGCCUGUCUGAGCGUCAUUUCAACCCUCAUGCCCCUAGGGCGUGGUGUUGGGGAUCGGCCAAAGCCCGCGAGGGACGGCCGGCCCCUAAAUCUAGUGGCGGACCCGUCGUGGCCUCCUCUGCGAAGUAGUGAUAUUCCGCAUCGGAGAGCGACGAGCCCCUGCCGUUAAACCCCCAACUUUCCAAGGUUGACCUCAGAUCAGGUAGGAAUACCCGCUGAACUUAAGCAUAUCAAUAAGCGGAGGA
rnacentral:misc_RNA from 1 species